CUGGAGGCCAGGGCUGAGGGAAGGCCUGGAGCAGAGCCGGUGCGCGACCUCGCAGUGAGCAGGGAGGGCAGGCUGGGGACGUUCACCACCCAGAACGCCUCUGCUCCCCGCAACCCUGAGACUCCAGGCUCCCCUGUUCCUCCCUCCGGGAGACCCUGCCCGUCCUCCCCGCGGGGCUCCUUCGCAGUUCGGGGGAAGGGACGGGUUGCGUCCUCGGGACCUUUCUCUGCAGCCACAGCAGCGCAUCCCAGCACCUCCUCCAGGAGCCCCGCCACCUCCUGCCACCCGGACUUUCCCCACAGCGCAGCGUCCCCUCGUCCUCUCAGGGCUGGAACAGCGGUACCCGCAGACAGUGCAAAAGGGAAGUCCCUGUUGCCUUCCCAUGCAAACUGUAGGGCGCUUACAGCUGCUGGGAGAGGAAAGGAAAGAAGAAAUACAAGCCUGUGACCCGGAUCCAACCCGCGGCGCACAGACCCCGGCUCUGGGCACCCCUGGUGAGCGCCUUCUGCGCCAGAGCUCCGUACAGCACCAGCCCGCGCUCUCCCCCAGCUUCUGUUCAUUUGCUGCAGUCCUGACGGGUCAGUUGCCUGAGCAUCCAUGCUGCCAUCCAUACAAACCCAGGCACGCAGAGAUGUACAUCCUUUACCCAGGGUGACACCAUGUGGAGCUGAAUCCAAGUCCGGGAGUCUGAUGACCGUGUCUGGGCUCUGACCGCGCAGCCGUCUCACAGUGAAACAAAUUGCGGACUGGCCUUGUCCUGAGUGGCCUUAGGAAGCUGCAGUGGCCUGCAGUCUCCUGGCCAGUCUGUAGAAUUUGGCAAAGAUGAGGCACCUUAUAGCCUUACAUGUUCUUAUUUUUCUUUCCUUUUCUCUUCUUUAUUUUCUUUUUUAAGGAUUUGAAUUAGUAUAUGUAAAGUGCUUAACGCAGGAGCUGGCAGAGAAAGUGGAUACUCAGUAAAUAACAGCAAUUGUUAAUUGUAAAAAGCAUGCCACUUAUCUGGUAAAAUCCCCCAUUCUAAGCACCCUGUUAAGUAGUUGGUAAUUCCUCACUUGAAAGAAAUUAAAAAGAAUUUUUGUCAGUUUUUUAAAA
rnacentral:lncRNA from 1 species